rnacentral:rRNA from 1 species
AGAGUUUGAUCAUGGCUCAGGACGAACGCUGGCGGCGUGCCUAAUACAUGCAAGUCGAGCGAAUCUGAGGGAGCUUGCUCCCAAAGAUUAGCGGCGGACGGGUGAGUAACACGUGGGCAACCUGCCUGUGAGACUGGGAUAACUUCGGGAAACCGGAGCUAAUACCGGAUAAUUCUUUCUCUUACAUGAGAGAAAGCUGAAAGACGGUUUCGGCUGUCACUUACAGAUGGACCCGCGGCGCAUUAGCUAGUUGGUGAGGUAACGGCUCACCAAGGCGACGAUGCGUAGCCGACCUGAGAGGGUGAUCGGCCACAUUGGGACUGAGACACGGCCCAAACUCCUACGGGAGGCAGCAGUAGGGAAUCUUCCGCAAUGGACGAAAGUCUGACGGAGCAACGCCGCGUGAGUGAUGAAGGUUUUCGGAUCGUAAAACUCUGUUGUUAGGGAAGAACAAGUAUCGGAGUAACUGCCGGUACCUUGACGGUACCUAACCAGAAAGCCACGGCUAACUACGUGCCAGCAGCCGCGGUAAUACGUAGGUGGCAAGCGUUGUCCGGAAUUAUUGGGCGUAAAGCGCGCGCAGGCGGUUCUUUAAGUCUGAUGUGAAAUCUUGCGGCUCAACCGCAAGCGGUCAUUGGAAACUGGGGGACUUGAGUGCAGAAGAGGAAAGCGGAAUUCCACGUGUAGCGGUGAAAUGCGUAGAGAUGUGGAGGAACACCAGUGGCGAACGCGGCUUUCUGGUCUGUAACUGACGCUGAGGCGCGAAAGCGUGGGGAGCAAACAGGAUUAGAUACCCUGGUAGUCCACGCCGUAAACGAUGAGUGCUAAGUGUUAGAGGGUUUCCGCCCUUUAGUGCUGCAGCUAACGCAUUAAGCACUCCGCCUGGGGAGUACUGCCGCAAGGCUGAAACUCAAAGGAAUUGACUGGGGCCCGCACAGCGGUGGAGCAUGUGCUUUAAUUCGAAGCAACGCGAAGAACCUUACCAGG